UACCCUUGGCUGUGACGUUACCCACAGAAGAAGCACCGGCUAACUCCGUGCCAGCAGCCGCGGUAAUACGGAGGGUGCGAGCGUUAAUCGGAAUUACUGGGCGUAAAGCGUGCGUAGGCGGCCAUUUAAGUUGGAUGUGAAAGCCCCGGGCUCAACCUGGGAACUGCAUCCAAAACUGGGUGGCUUGAGUGCGAGAGAGGAGUGUGGAAUUUCCUGUGUAGCGGUGAAAUGCGUAGAUAUAGGAAGGAACACCAGUGGCGAAGGCGACACUCUGGCUUGACACUGACGCUGAGGUACGAAAGCGUGGGGAGCAAACAGGAUUAGAUACCCUGGUAGUCCACGCCGUAAACGAUGUCUACUAGUUGUCGGUGGUCUUGUACUGCUGGUAACGCAGCUAACGCGAUAAGUAGACCGCCUGGGGAGUACG
rnacentral:rRNA from 1 species